rnacentral:rRNA from 1 species
AGCGAACGCUGGCGGCGUACUUAACACAUGCAAGUCGAACGGGGAUCAUCGGGUUAGCAAUAACUCGGUGGUCCUAGUGGCGCACGGGUGAGUAACACGUGGGUAACCUGCCCUGGAGACCGGGAUACCCCCUCGAAAGGGGGGCUAAUACCGGAUACGUUCCCUGGAUCGAGAGGUCUGGGGAGGAAAGGUGGCGAAAGCUGCCGCUCUUGGAGGGGCUCGCGGCCUAUCAGCUAGUUGGCGGGGUAACGGCCCACCAAGGCUAUGACGGGUAGCUGGUCUGAGAGGACGACCAGCCACACGGGGACUGAGACACGGCCCCGACUCCUACGGGAGGCAGCAGUGGGGAAUUUUCCGCAAU